AUGGGGGAGGCUGAUAAAGUAAAGUUUCUUAAAGAAACUAUUGUAGAACAUAAUAUUUUAUUUGUACGUGUGCAGGAAACAAAGAAAACUAGUUAUGGUGCUGAUUGGUUAAUUAAUAUUAGUGGUAGAAAGAAUUUUUCCUGGGUAUGUGUUCCAUCAGUAGAACUGAGUGGUGGUAUUAUGUUAGGAGUGGAUAGUGAUUGUUUUGAAGUACUGGAAGCUGAAUCGGGUGAUUUUAAUGCUAGAAUGACAGUUAGAGAGAAAAGCUCUAAUAAGAAAUGGAUUUUAGCUACUGUGUAUGGGGCUGCUCAUGGUAGAGACAAGGGAGCCUGUUUGGUUGAGCUAGUGCAUAUUUUUUUAUUGUAA
rnacentral:rRNA from 1 species